UACGAAGGGGGCUAGCGUUGCUCGGAAUCACUGGGCGUAAAGGGUGCGUAGGCGGGUUUUUAAGUCAGAGGUGAAAUCCUGGAGCUCAACUCCAGAACUGCCUUUGAUACUGAAAAUCUUGAGUAUGGGAGAGGUGAGUGGAACUGCGAGUGUAGAGGUGAAAUUCGUAGAUAUUCGCAAGAACACCAGUGGCGAAGGCGGCUCACUGGCCCAUAACUGACGCUGAGGCACGAAAGCGUGGGGAGCAAACAGG
rnacentral:rRNA from 1 species